rnacentral:rRNA from 1 species
ACGAACGCUGGCGGCGUGCUUAACACAUACCGGUCGAACGGAAAGGCCUGCUUUCCCUUGUGGAUUGCGGGUGCUCGAGUGGCGAACGGGUGAGUAACACGUGAGUGAUCUGCCCCCAACUUGGGUAUAAGCCUGGGAAACUGGGUCUAAUUCCCGAUAGGACUGCAGGGUGGUGCCUGUGGUGGAAAACGAUUUUCUAGUGGUUGGGGAUGAGCUCGCGGCCUAUCAGCUUGUUGGUGGGGUAAUGGCCUACCAAGGCGGCGACGGGUAGCCGGCCUGAGAGGGUGGACGGGCACAUGGGGACUGAGAUACGGCCCAGACUCCUACGGGAGGCAGCAGUGGGGAAUAUUGCACAAUGGGCGGAGGCCUGAUGCAGCGACGCCGCGUGGGGGAUGACGGCCUUCGGGUUGUAAACUCCUUUCGACCGCGAGGAAGCCACCUGGUUGGAAGGGUGGUGACGGUAGUGGUAGAAGAAGCACCGGCUAACUACGUG